AAUCUCGAAGGAUUUCAAACCACACAUCGCAUAACAGCCAAGAUCGUAAUAAGUUUAGCGGCUGCCAUCCACAAGUACAUCCAGAUUACAACAUUCAUAAAACACAUCGGAGUACUUAAGUUAUUACAAACCAAGUUCUUCAAGUAGCGGAAGCUUCAUAGUUCGAAAAUACAACACACACGAUAAGUCUGAUACAGUGCCAUAGUU
rnacentral:lncRNA from 1 species